UGAUCACCAAUGUUGACUUGGUUGUUAAAGAUAGCUAAGUGGGUAUCCCCUUCCUCUAUGUUAAUUCCAUGUGUAUCCCUCCUGAAUCUAUGCACUUUAUCAGUAGGUCAGAGAUUCCUUGAAUAGAGCAAGUUUUUUUUUUUUUUCAGUUGAGAGGAUAUAAAUUACUCAGCUCCCUUCCUAGAAUCUCUAAAUAAGCUCCCAAAUGAAAAUCCAAGAGGCUAGGAAACAGGAUACUGAAAUCCAUACAAGCAAUUUAUGAGAGGGUAAUU
rnacentral:snRNA from 1 species